CUGCACCAGCUGCCAGAUGGAUUAGACACGAUUGAAUGUUGCUUGAAUGGUGGAUGUGCUAUUGUUUGUUUUCUAAAUAAGUUAGUGAUUUUUUGGCGUUCUGAAUCUAAUCAUACGUGUUUGUAAUAAGAAACCUCAUCAUUUACGCAUCAGAAUUUGACCUUUCAAUAAUAAAAUCUCGAAGCAACAGCGGAAAUAAAAAGAUUUGUAAAGAAUGAGUGUGUUCCGAUAACAACGCCCCUGGAAGAACAGGGAAGUGUCAGUGAAUCUAAGGUUUCGGGGUGAUUCGCACACUAGCAACAAAGUAUGGACAACGAUGCAGGGGCCAAUGGUGGCUCAGCGGAACCGGACAUGCAUUCGUCGCCAUCUUCCGGCCGGGGGUUCCGGCCGGACACCUUGCGGGACAUUUUGAACACGGCCAUUCAAUCGAACGUCGAUGCGACUGAGUCUGCUGAACUGGACGUCGAGCCACCGUUGUUUGCUACCGGCAGCGUGCACGAUUAUAUGCCCCCUAUAAUUCUACCACGGGUGAGAAAUCCUCAAAACUACUACGAGUCGAUGCCUACAUAUUUCCCUCCUACGGCGCAUGUCGAAUCAGCUCGCACCAACUACGGCCUAUUUGGGCCAACUAGUUUUGGAUAUUUUCCAUCUCAUCACCAUUUACACCACCACCAUCAUCAUCAUCAGCCGCCACCUCAUGUUCAACAGCAAGCAAGCCGGUACUCACCGACGACCUUCCAUCAUGGAUCUUCCAGUUCAUCCAGACCGUCCUCGUCGUCGUCGGGAUCAUCUUUCAUCAUACGUCCAUCGUUGGACGGUGGUGACAACAUGCCCGGAUCGAACGAUGGCUCCAAUGUAGUGAUGAGGCCUCGGUCCCAUACAAGACCGCCACGGUCAUCCGAAGAGAUUGCCCCGAAUUGGAACUCGUAUGGAUUUCAUCACGCUCCUUACUGUGCUGCCGGUGCCGGCAACGGAGACAGAGGAGAUCUUCGCGGCGGUUUCAAUAGGAAACGGCACCACAACUGUGAUAUACACAAUAGACCCAAAAAGCCAACACCGGUUGAACGAUCUCAUCCUACGCACCUGGUAGAACACAAUAGACGCCCCAGAGGGAGACCUCCUCGCAAUUCCCCAAUAUUAUUGGACAUUAGUCAACUGUUACCGGUAAAAAAAGAGGAAAAAAUUGAACCUGAAGACCAAAAUGCUCAAAUCAAACAGGAAGAUCCCUGUCCAUGUGAAAUGUGUAGUGCGGAUUGCGCAACAGUAGAGCAAAGAAGUUGUUCAGUUCACCAUCAGCGGAAUGUGAUCAAGAAAGAGCCCAAGGUGGAAUGUUCCAACAAGGUGAAAAAAGAACCGGAAGUCAAGCAAGAGCAAGAAUGUAAGGCUGAACCGAAUGAAACACGGGAGGAAGAACCUGUUCCUCCGGAAGAGCCGAUGCCUGGUCCAAGUGGACUGAAUCGUCAUCUGGUGGAUCAAAUUCUAGAGCAAGAAGGGUCCAACAAGUCAUCCGGUCCUCGAUCGCGACGUUUUCCACCACGUUUCGCCUAUGACGACGACGAUGAUGACUACGAUAGUGACGACGAUACGGACGAGGAUGGUUUUAAUACAGCAGAUGGGCCUACGGAUGUCCGGAAUUCUUCGGACGCCGUUGACUUUAGUGAACUCACCGAAGUAGAUGUAGAUCCGGUCAACACAACCGAUAUCAUCCGAGAAACCUACAGGGAUGCGUCCCCUCCGGCUAUGGACAUCAGUCUUCAGAUCAACUCCUCUGGAGGAAGUACCUUGGGCGAAGCCUCUAGCCAGCAUAAUAAUAGUGACACCAGUGCACAGGGUGAUCAUGCCCGGGUAUCAGAUCCUCUGGAACCUCAGCAAAGUUCAGCACAUCAGCGAGCCAGCGACGUUCUUUCGGCACCAGACUUGCAACUAGAUUGGGUCACCGAUACGAGCAGCAUCAGUGAUGAAAGUGAUGUGGUGCUGGUGGAUCCGGACAACGCAAAUGGAAGGGAACCGAUUGAUCUGACCAACGAAUCGGACGAAGACAAUGGUGGAGCAAGCGGCACAGUGGCAGGCGGAAGACUAGAGGACGGCUGUAACCGAGAUGAUCGCAACUGUUAUGGCAGUCGAUCGUCGCCCUCCGGUUUUCCACCGGAUCAGAAAGGCCGUGGCUUGUUCAAUCGAUUUUCCGGGUUUACGGCGUAUGGAGCGAAUGGCGGCCACAGCUCAACUCCACCACCACCUUCCCCUCACAUGUAUCGUGUGCGUCAGCAUCAUAACUCUCAGCAGCCGCAUUCACCAGUUCCUGCACAGAGGCAUUUCCGAAACUUCUCUCACCAGAGCGGUAGCCGAGAUGGAGGAUAUUCUCCUAGCGUUCGGCGUUGGUUUCCAAAUGGACGUACUUCUCGGCAGGAUCCAAGCAUGAUGCGACCGACCCCACUGCUAUCAACUAACUAUCCAGCUCCGGGUCAUGGCCUGGAGUUACAUCGUCCGGCGGUGGCAGAUGGCGCAACGCCAGGAGCUCCCGGUGUAGAUAACGGAAGCGAUAGCAAUGCAGGAAUGGUUAUAGACAACACCAGCAGUGGGAGUUUCAACCGAAAUCAUUUCGUGCAACAUGGCUCUCUGGGUGACACGUUUGCUUACAAUACAACGAAUGUCACCAAUCACAGGCAUGGUACCCAGCGCGGUGAUAGUGGUAAUAACAGCAAUGAACAAAGGUAUAUGUGCGCCCAUUUAACGGCUGAGAGUCCGAUCGACUACUCCAAUAGGCUGGGCUCGAAUGGCAGAGAGUAUGAUGAAACAAACCAUCGACGGUUUAACGAUGACAACAAUAAUCAACCCGGAUACGAAUCUGGGCGACAAGCACCUCCUCCGGCAGGAAGCAACCAUCCGGAGCCACGAAGCUAUCGUAGCACUCAUGGUUACUUGAACCGUAACCGCUAUCUGCAUUCGGGCGGAGUCCGACCACCGUACGCAGUUCACGAACAACUGUGGAAUCGACAGCACAACAUGCAGGAAGCGCACCGCCGUAUGCUGAAUGAUUACAACGAGCGGAUGUCUCCUCAUCACCUCGGUGCCCUACGACCCAGAAACCUGAGACAUCUUUUGUACAACAAUCCGGCGGGUCCAAAUCCGGCUCAUUCCGGUGGGGCUGGUUCUGGUGGUCCUGGUGCCCGGGAACAACUCUUCGAAGAUGGCGAAACGCAUUGGACGGAUCGGGAUUUCAAUCGUUACGGGCUGAACUAUCAGCAGGAUCUGCGCGUCUUUAAUCAUCGUCCGAGGCGCGUCUCGUAUCAUACCACCGUGUAUCCACCGAUGCGACGAAACGAUCACCAGCACGUCCAUCAUCAUAUGUACCAUCACUUCCAGCCACAGGCCAUUCUCAACAACGCACCACAGGUCCACUUGAGCAUUGGGCUCCGGCCUAGUUUACUGUCCAGUCUGAAUCGUUUCGUUCGCGUCAUCGAGGAUACCUGUUCCAAUCGUGGAGCCACACAGGAAAUGAUCGAGCACAACACCUUCCCACACAAGUACAAACGGCUGCGUCGGGCCAGCGAGACCGACGAAGAUAGCGAGAAGUGCACGAUCUGUUUGUCUCAGUUUGAGGUGGACAACGAUGUGAGGCGCCUACCGUGUAUGCAUUUAUUCCACAAGGAUUGUGUCGAUCAGUGGCUGGUUACCAACAAGCACUGUCCCAUCUGCCGAGUGGACAUCGAAGUGCACCUAACCAAAGACUACAGCAUAUGACGGUCGGAAGACGAUAGCAGCGCAUCCUACCAGCAGGGUCUAUCCGGCGGGAACCGAACGCGCAUCCUAGUGUUUGACCGGAACGCGCCGUCCUCCCGUCGCUACCAUAUGCGUCAUCAUCCGGCGCAGACGCAGCUCAGUAAUCGUUAUGUAGAGUCAUAUUUAUCGAUGGUGUCACGGAAUCUCAUCGACGAUGGGUCGUUUUUCUUUUACCUCUGAAUGCCCAUCGAUUUUACAUCAGAGGGAUCUGAGGGCUGGUAUUGUCACCGGCCUAAUAAAGCUAGCAAGUAACUAGUA